GUCCCUCUACAAUAAGAAGGGUACGUGAUUCUGCUGGCAAAACGUACAGUAAUCAGUCCUGGUUUCUACUGACAAAUGUGAUUUUGCUACAAGUUAUGAACCUAAAACUGGUGCUUGUGUCUUAAAGAAGUGUUUCUAUAAACAUGGAAAAUCUGUGAAAAUCGGUUGGUCCGAUGAGCACCUCAAAGUGCCUGCGUCCAUAUCCGAAGAUGUUAAAACUGUGAUAGAUGCUUCAACCCACGCAGUCACUCCUUUUUUUCUUUUAUUUUGAACAAGCAGCGUCAUCUGUAUUUACAUUGUCAGUGUGAAAAAAACAUCAUAAGCCAUUCUCGUUGACUGUUGUUAUGUAAUCAUAUAAAAGCUCGUAACAAAUUGUUCUGAUUGUUUUGGAAUGCCUUGUGAUCGCAUUCGUAUUGUACUACGUCAGUCCAUUAAAGAUGCAAUCACUAUUCUUUUCUGUGUAUUACUCUGUAACCUCCCAACCAAAUACUUGAACUAGAUGGAAAUAUUGUAUAUGAUAUUGUAAAUCUUCUAUCUCAUGAAAUUAAUAAAGAAAAUUAAUUGUA